rnacentral:tRNA from 3 species
GGUCCGGUAGCUCAGGCUGGUGAGAGCGCCGCUCUGAUAAGGCGGGAGUCGGAGGUUCAAAUCCUCCUCGGACCACCA